rnacentral:piRNA from 1 species
UUCCCAGAGCUGAUCCACUGGCGUGAUUUGC